rnacentral:lncRNA from 1 species
AUUGAGUCAUGGUGAAAACAGGGAAGUAGAUGCCCAGAGAGAGAAUGGAGAACAAACAGAGAAGGAAGCCAAGAACAACCUCCAAGGAAAACACAACAUUCAAGGUACACGUAAAAGAAUAGAAGCCAGUAAAGUAGAGAAAGAAGGACAAAUCAGAGAGGAGAAGAGCCAUGAGAUACCUCUCAGAAGCCAUGGUAUUAAACAUCUCCAGUGCCCCAGUUAAGUCAAAUAAGGUGGGAAGUGGAAACUGACGAAGUUUAUUGGACUUGGCGCUUUCGAAGUCACUGGAAAUUACCACCACAGCAAUUUCAGUAGAUUAGCAAGGUGUUGACUAGAGUACCAUUAAGAGUGAUUGAAAGGUAAAGAGAUGAAGACAACAAACAAAGGCUAUUCUUCUAAGAAAUUUAUCAUGAAGAUAAGAAGAAAAGUGAGAGAGUAUAGGUAGCAGGAAGCAAGUGAAGAAGACUGUAAAGGUUUGGAGUUGCCAUGGUGGCCAGAUGAGGGAGCUGAUCAGAGGUAUGUAAAACUGUUUCAAAAUAAUGCUAAAGACCCCUUCAGGUGGAGACCAUGACUUAGCAGUGGUUCCAGUUUGGAAGAUGGUUUUUUUCCAGGGGCUCUCACCAGUGCUGGGUGCUAUAAUAGGAAAGGCAGACAUAAGCCAAGUUUGGGGGCAACAAAAGUUUGUCUUCCCCUCCUACUGAAGUUGGAAAUACUUAUUUCCCAGUUUUUAUUUCAACUGAAGAUGACCUCAUGACAGGUUUUGCUUUCCUGAUGAAAAGGAGAAGAUGUGGAUGAUAUAUGGCCCAUUUUUGCUUCCUCCUGCUCCUAGUCUGGAGUAUGGAGCAAUCCUAGAGGUGUAGCAGCUACCUGUUAAGCCUGGGGCAAAAACCAUGAGAAUCAAAGCCAACAGGGUGAGGAUGGUGAGAAGAAAGGUAGAAAGUGCCUGGGGCCAUGUUGACAUUACGGAAUAUGUUAUGGGCUGAGUUGUGUCCCCCUAAAAUUUAAAUGUUGAAGCCCUAACCCUCAGUGCCUCAUGAAGUGACCUUAUUUGCAAAUAGGGAUUUUACAUAGGUAAGCAAGUUAAAAUGUCAUUGAGGUGAGUCUUCAUCAAAUCUGACUGUUGUUCUUAUAAAAAGGGGAAAUUUAGAGACAGACACACAUGCAGGGGAAUGCCAUGUGAGGAUGCAGAGACCAGGGUGAUGCUUCUAUAAGCCAGAGAAUGACAAAGUUGCCUGAAAACCACCAGAAGCUAAUGGAAAGACAUAGAACAGUUUCUUCCCCACCAAGCUCAGAAAGGACAAACCUAUCUACACCUUGAUUUCUUUUUUUUUUUUUUUUUGCCCUAAAGCAAUGAAAUGCAGAUCGACAUCUUCAUUUUGGACAUCUAGUCUCUAGAACUCUGGAACAAUAAAUUCCUGUUGAUUAUAUCACUCAGACUGUGGUACUUUGUUACAGCCCUAGCAAAACACUCCAGAGCAUCAAAAACCCUUAAAGUAAACUCCUACCUCUAAAUGUUCUAUUACAUGAGAAAAAUAAGCAACUAUUUAUUUAAACUAAACUACUGGUUGAAUCUUCUUUUUCUUAUAGUGGAUGGAAUCUCAGCUAGAUAUAAAUAGGCAAAAGAGAUCUAAAUAGGAGGAAAAUUUGAGUAAUUAAGGAGGUAAAAGCUAGGAAGAAAUGACUGGAUCAAGAAUUUCCAUGAGGUCAAAG